CUGAAGUUUCCCAACACACGGCAUAUACCUUGGAUCAAUUUGUCAAGUGUCUAAUUCCGAGGUAACCUGGAAUUCCAACCUUUAUGUGCUGUUGUGGAGGAACCACCUUUCAUGUCCAUGAAACCCUGAGGAGAGACAGCCUCCACGGCGGCCCCCGCCCUCUGAUGUCCACGUGUUCCUGGACUGUCUUCUCCGCGAGUGCGGACCGGCCCCAGAGACUUACUUCAAACGUAAAGAAUGCAGCAAAAGUGAUGGGAUCGUUGCGGUCACUUCUGAGAGCCUUCCUGAGGCCGCGAGGGAACUUUCAACUGUCAGGAGAAUCGACGGUUUGUGCAGAAACUCAGCACGUGCUCCCCAAGGACCCACGACCAGGAACAUCAGGCUCUGAGAGAGAAUCGUGAUUCAGGACCAGAUGAUGGUCUCACACCAUCAGCUUUAGUCCCAUGGUCUCCUUCCCCCUCUUGGCUACUACUACACCCAAGAAGAAAGAAAGAAACCCAGCACAGGUCAGAAAUGCGUGUCUGUUUAUACACGAGACACUGAAAAAUACAUGGACUACGAGAGGCCAGGAUAGUCCCUCGAGCUGUUCAAGCGGAGGCGCAAGUACACAGAGUCAGAAGAGUCUCUAAAGAGAAACA